UAUAUAUAUAUAUAUGUGUGUGUGUGUGUGUGUGUGUGUGUGUUUGUGUGUCAAUUUAUCAGUCUUCCUGUGUCUCAAUAUCACUUUCCACCCUGUUAGUCUUGUGAAAUAUAUUCAAUUUCAGUAAUAAAAGCGAGUUUCAUAAUGACAUCAUCCGCAAAGGAAGUGACAUUCAAGAAGUGAACAACAGCACAAAUAUCAGUCAGCAUUAGAUUUGUUGACAACAUUUCACACAAACAUAUUCAUUUUUUAAAGUUAAUAUGUACAGUAAAAGCAGCGCAAAUGCAUGAGUGUUAAUGUCCUGGUGUUACUUGUCAGUGUUGACAUUCAGUAAUUGUGUCACCUCUUUGUAGAAGACAUAUACCUGUAACACUGCUGGAGCAUGACAUGGCAUGAAAGUGUUGGUGUUGUUAUUGGCAGUAGGCAAGAUAAAGUCAUCUCACAUUAGGCAAGAUAAAGUCAAUUAAAUAUAAAGUGAUGGCCAAAUUGAUUAGAUCACUAGUAUUUUUUUAAGUCAGUUAUUUCUGUAUUUUGCUGUAGUGUGUCAGUAGAAAAUAUCAGUUUACAUUUCCAAACAUUAAUUUUGCCAUUAAUUGUAAUUAUCCAAUGAGAUCUGGUCUCAUCAUCAUCCAGUCUGUCUGAAAUAGAAGCAACUGACUUUUGGUGAAAAUACUAGUUUUUUAAUCCUUUUGGCCACCACUGUAUAAAAAUUUGUAUAGAUUCAAGAGGCAUUACGAUAAUAUUUAUGUGAAUACCAGGUCACAGAGGGAUAAAGGGCAAUGAAGUGGUGGAUGGGGUUAGCAAAAAAGGCUUUGGAAAGUGAAGAAGUCACGAACAUUUCACAGAAAAUCAGGUUUAUGAAAGACAACAAGAAGUAAGAUCGCAAAGACGAGCACCAAAAAAAUAAAGUACUUUAACAAGAUUAAGGUUUGGGCAUACAAAGCUUAAUAAAACACUGAAACUAAUAAAUAAACAUCCGAUGUGGCAAUGUGGAGUCAGUAGAAUUUGUUUCAGCCAAAGGUAUUCUUCUUCUGAACACAAAAUAUUUAAGAGGGAUCUCAGAAAAAUGGGAGAGAAUGUCUUAAAAGUUCAAUUACAUACAGAUUAGGAAGUGUAUUCCAUUAUUUAAAGAAAACAAUCUUUUGGAUACAAUAAUGGGUAAACUCUGGUCCACACUCCAACAGGAGGCAAUAAUGCACCUUAAUCAUAUGAAUUACUUAAUGUUGGUGUCACCCGCCAUAAAACCGAAGAAGUUUUAACAUUUUACACUGCCAUGCCCAUUUUUCAACUUCAUUUGUCUGGAAGGCCGGCAUUUUGUCCUUGUACAAUUUCUCCAUAGAAGCAAUGUAAGUUCUAUUUAUUAUACAAAUGUAUAAGUUUGUAAUCCUUCAUAUGAUUUUCAUGCCUUUUUUAUGUUUGACUGGUAAUUACAGCUUUUUGGAGAGUCAAACUGGAAGAAAGUAAGUUCCUGAAGGAGUGAGGCGAUAUUUGCUAAUAAGGAGCACUUCCAUGAAGCAUUAAGUGGCUCAGAGCACCUGGCUUGGCAUUUAUAGACUUUGAAGAGAAGUACAGGUGAUCCUGUUGAUGGUAAAAAUGUUAAGACUCAACAUGGUAGGACAUCUCUGCCUAUCAGCUGCCAACAACAUCACAAAGUCACAAUAAGAGAACAAAGAUCGGCCUCCUUCAGGCAACUGGCUAUUUAGUGAGAUUUCUUAAGGUGCAUGCCUUAAUCUAUACUUAAAGGGUUAGCUCCAACCUUCUUUCAUCUUCAGAACACAGAUUUUUUAAAUAAAAUUUGAGAGCUUCCUGUCCCUUCAUUGGCAGUCCACUCAACUACAUUUUAAGCCCAAGAAAGUUAGCCUUUAAAAAUAUAUUUCAAGUAAUCAAUGUGACUCUAGUAGUUUAUCAUCAGUGUUAUUAAGCUACGCAAGUUCUGUGUUUGAAAAAAAAAAAAAAAAAAAACAGAUUACUACUUUACUUACAAAAUAUUAAUUUUCACUGCGCGAUGUGUGACCAUGCACUGAAAUUUUUUAUUUUGUAAAUAAAUUCAUGAAUCUGCACAGCCUUUUUUGCUCUGUGAAAGAACUAUGAGCUGAACUUUACUGUUUGCAAAUGUAACACAACUGAUCCACAUAUCCUGUGAUUUUGUAGCUGUAUUUUGUACAUCUGCUCAGUGUAGUUGAAUCAAGCACUACUGUGCUGUGUUGCAGUCAUAGGUAUUGACUCAGUACAGUACUUCCAUUCACUGACAUGUACAGAGCUUGAGGUAUUAACAGACCAUCUGAUAAGCAGCUUUUAUAUUAUUUCUGAUGACAGAAAUGUUCAUUCAUCAUUUAUUUUAAAAGUAAACCUUUCAUGAUGUAAAGUGGUUUGAUAAAUUAAUAAAGAUCUAUUUUGUUAAAAAAAAACUGUUUGCAUUUUGCCUUUAUUUAAAAAGACUGUGAUCCUAGACUAAAGUUUAAUUAAACUUUAUGGAUUGUUUUAAUCUCUGUGUUGAAGAAAAUUAACUCACUGUGGUGUGGACCAGAGUUGUUUUACAGUGUAAGUGUAACUCUGUUUUAGUGUUAUAAAACUCUGAAAAAUGUAACUUUGAAAAGUUUGAGACAAUAUGUUCACUCAUCAGAGCUGAUUG